UCCGAGUUGACCCCGGCAGUCUCCUAUGAGUUCCCACCAUUACGUGCUGGCAACAUAGAACGAGGGUUGCGCUCGUUGCGGGACUUAACCCAACAUCUCACGACACGAGCUGACGACAACCAUGCACCACCUGUAUACCGACCUUGCGGGGCACACAUCUCUGCAUGUUUCCGGUAUAUGUCAAGCCUUGGUAAGGUUCUUCGCGUUGCAUCGAAUUAAUCCGCAUGCUCCGCCGCUUGUGCGGGCCCCCGUCAAUUCCUUUGAGUUUUAGCCUUGCGGCCGUACUCCCCAGGCGGGACACUUAAUGCGUUAGCUUCGGCACGGGAGGAGUCGACACCUCCCACACCUAGUGUCCAUCGUUUACGGCGUGGACUAC
rnacentral:misc_RNA from 1 species